UUGGAUGUUGUGUUGAGUGAUAUGAUUUAACUGGGAAGUAUUGGUAAUGGUUGGACUAGAUGAUCUUCUAGGUCUUUUCCAACCUUGAUAAUUCUGCGGGAAUUGUUCAAGUGAGAUCGCUGCUUAAGCUUUUCUAAUAGGCAGCCAGUCUCAUUGCUGCAAAGUGGGUUCAUGGGGUGUGCUCUCAGGAGAUACCUGAGGGCAUCAUGAUGGCAGCUGGAGCGGCACUGGCUCUCUGUCCUGGGCAGCCCUUGGGAUGUGGCAUGCCCCAUCUGUGCAUAGGGGGCUGCGCUAACACUAGCGCGCAGCAGCACUGCCACCCUGUGGCUUUUUGCUGGAACGGAUCCGUUUCAUUUCGGUGGUGAUGGUAAAACGAGACUCGCUUUUGAAAACGGGAAUUCUGGAUUUAGGCAGCUGUUAACACAGUGAUAUUUUUCCUGAUGAAGAAAUGAGCCCUCACCAUGCCACAGUUUCAUCUGUUUUUUCAGCCUGAGCAUUCCCCCUUUGAACAGGGAUGUGUUCAAGGUUUCAGCUCUAAAUAUAUGCUUGGACAAUAUGCAAACUUUUGAAAGUAGUUGUCACUACAGUGUCAUAGAAUGCAAAUGGAGUGAUUGGGCACUGUCCUGAUUUUAUGUGUAAGUUCAUCAGUUGUGCAUACCACCUUAUUUUACACUUAUACAGAUACAAAGCUGAUGAUCUUUAGCUGUCCUGCUCUUGUAAGUGUGACCCCAGCCAGUUCCGUUACCUUGUAUUUGAGGUCUCCAUCCCUGUUUGCAGUUCUCUAUUCUCUGUGGCUGUGUGGGUGAGGUCUUAGAGAUGUUCCACCCGCAGAAGAAGUGCAUGCUCUGACUUCACAGGUGCUGUACUGACGUCUCACAGGGAAGGCAUUGAGGCUGUUUCUGCUGCUUUCUUGCUGUGUAGUUUUAAAUUUUACUAUGCUUUUGUUUCUCAGUCAAUUGUUUGGAACGGAGAGAGGAGGUGAAGAUGUAAGGAGGCUGUUAACUAUGCUUGAAUGCUCUGUGGUUACUUAGGACUAUCGAUAUCAAUAUGAAGACACUGCACAUAUUUUUGUUCGGUAAUUACAGCAAUGGGAGUGAGCAAAAUGCAAUUCUGUGACAUUGUUAUCCAGAUGUAAUUGCAGGCAUCUGUAAAUAAAUACAUAAAUAAAUAAUCAUUCAACAACCUGAA